rnacentral:rRNA from 1 species
GGACAAAGUGACAGGUGGUGCAUGGUUGUCGUCAGCUCGUGUCGUGAGAUGUUGGGUUAAGUCCCGCAACGAGCGCAACCCUUGAUUUUAGUUGCCAGCAUUUAGUUGGGCACUCUAAAGUGACUGCCGGUGCAAGCCGGAGGAAGGUGGGGAUGACGUCAAAUCAUCAUGCCCCUUAUGACCUGGGCUACACACGUGCUACAAUGGAUAGUACAAAGGGUCGCGAAGCCGCGAGGUGGAGCUAAUCCCAUAAAACUAUUCUCAGUUCGGAUUGUAGGCUGCAACUCGCCUACAUGAAGCCGGAAUCGCUAGUAAUCGUGGAUCAGCAUGCCACGGUGAAUACGUUCCCGGGCCUUGUACACACCGCCCGUCACACCACGAGAGUUUGUAACACCCGAAGUCGGUAGGGUAACCUUUAUGGAGCCAGCCGCCGAAGGUGGGACAGAUAAUUGGGGUGAAGUCGUAACAAGGUAGCCGUAUCGGAAGGUGCGGCUGGAUCACCUCCUUUCUAAGGAA